CNCUUUCAACAACGGAUCUCUUGGCUCUCGCAUCGAUGAAGAACGCAGCGAAAUGCGAUAAGUAGUGUGAAUUGCAGAAGUAAUGUGAAUCAUCGAAUCUUUGAACGCAAAUUGCACUCUNUGGUAUUCCGGGGAGUAUGCCUGUUUGAGGGUCGCU
rnacentral:rRNA from 1 species